rnacentral:tRNA from 1 species
ACGGUUGUGGUCUAACGGCAUGAUCCGAGCUUCCCAAGCUUGUGACCCGGGUUCAAUAAAUAUACUUUUGAAAAUCCCGGCAACCGUA